UAGGGAAUCUUCGGCAAUUGACGAAAGUCUGACCGAGCAACGCCGCGUGAGUGAAGAAGGUUUUCGGAUCGUAAAACUCUGUUGUUAGAGAAGAACAAGGACGUUAGUAACUGAACGUCCCCUGACGGUAUCUAACCAGAAAGCCACGGCUAACUACGUGCCAGCAGCCGCGGUAAUACGUAGGUGGCAAGCGUUGUCCGGAUUUAUUGGGCGUAAAGCGAGCGCAGGCGGUUUCUUAAGUCUGAUGUGAAAGCCCCCGGCUCAACCGGGGAGGGUCAUUGGAAACUGGGAGACUUGAGUGCAGAAGAGGAGAGUGGAAUUCCAUGUGUAGCGGUGAAAUGCGUAGAUAUAUGGAGGAACACCAGUGGCGAAGGCGGCUCUCUGGUCUGUAACUGACGCUGAGGCUCGAAAGCGUGGGGAGCAAACAGG
rnacentral:rRNA from 2 species